ensembl:snRNA U6 U6 spliceosomal RNA
GUGUUUCCUUUGGCAGCACAUAUGCUAAAAUUGGAAUGAUACAGAAAUGAGCCCGGCCCCAGCACAAGGAAAAACAAAAUACAAAAGGGCUGUGGGCAUUAAUU